CGUAGGGCGCAAGCGUUAUCCGGAAUUAUUGGGCGUAAAGAGCUCGUAGGCGGUUUGUCGCGUCUGCCGUGAAAGUCCGGGGCUUAACUCCGGAUCUGCGGUGGGUACGGGCAGACUAGAGUGCAGUAGGGGAGACUGGAAUUCCUGGUGUAGCGGUGAAAUGCGCAGAUAUCAGGAGGAACACCGAUGGCGAAGGCAGGUCUCUGGGCUGUAACUGACGCUGAGGAGCGAAAGCAUGGGAGCGAACAGGAUU
rnacentral:rRNA from 1 species